GCAGCCUUUUAGCUGCUAAGAUCAAAGGGUAGUAUCUGUUCUUAUUAGCUCAAUAUCUGAUAAAGUCCCUAUUUGGAACCAUUGAUAUUAAACUGAUUUUUAGAACAAGGUGAAGAGUUAGGGGCUUGUUCUGCCUUUGUAACAGGUUGGCUUGGUAUUUCAGUACUUCCAGGAUUCAGCCCAUUUGAC
rfam:Octopus bimaculoides Scaffold6732_contig_341, whole genome shotgun sequence.